rnacentral:rRNA from 1 species
UUAGCAUAUCAAUAAGCGGAGGAAAAGAAACCAACAGGGAUUGCCUCAGUAACGGCGAGUGAAGCGGCAACAGCUCAAAUUUGAAAUCUGGCUCUUUCAGGGUCCGAGUUGUAAUUUGUAGAGGAUGUUUCGGGUGUGGCUCCGGUCUAAGUUCCUUGGAACAGGACGUCAUAGAGGGUGAGAAUCCCGUAUGUGACUGGUAGCCUAUGCUCAUGUGAAACUCCUUCGACGAGUCGAGUUGUUUGGGAAUGCAGCUCAAAAUGGGUGGUAAAUUUCAUCUAAAGCUAAAUAUUGGCCAGAGACCGAUAGCGCACAAGUAGAGUGAUCGAAAGAUGAAAAGCACUUUGGAAAGAGAGUUAAACAGUACGUGAAAUUGUUGAAAGGGAAGCGCUUGCAACCAGACUUGCAUGUAGCUGAUCAACCGGUGUUCUCACCGGUGCACUCAGUUGCGUUCAGGCCAGCAUCGGUUUCGACGGUUGGAUAAAGGCCUUGGGAAUGUAGCUUCUUUCGGGGAGUGUUAUAGCCCAGGGUGCAAUGCAGCCUGUCGGGACCGAGGACCGCGCUUCGGCUAGGAUGCUGGCGUAAUGGUUGUAAGCGACCCGUCUUGAAACACGGACCAAGGAGUCUAACAUCUAUGCGAGUGUUUGGGUGUCAAACCCAUACGCGUAAUGAAAGUGAACGGAGGUGAGAACCCUUAAGGGUGCAUCAUCGACCGAUCCUGAUGUCUUCGGAUGGAUUUGAGUAAGAGCAUAGCUGUUGGGACCCGAAAGAUGGUGAACUAUGCCUGAAUAGGGUGAAGCCAGAGGAAACUCUGGUGGAGGCUCGCAGCGGUUCUGACGUGCAAAUCGAUCGUCAAAUUUGGGUAUAGGGGCGAAAGACUAAUCGAACCAUCUAGUAGCUGGUUCCUGCCGAAGUU